rnacentral:rRNA from 1 species
AAUAGAUACCCAGGUAGUCCACGCCGUAAACGACUGAGUGCUAAGUGUUAGAGGGUUUCCGCCCUUUAGUGCUGCAGCUAACGCAUUAAGCACUCCGCCUGGGGAGUACGGUCGCAAGACUGAAACUCAAAGGAAUUGACGGGGGCCCGCACAAGCGGUGGAGCAUGUGGUUUAAUUCGAAGCAACGCGAAGAACCUUACCAGGUCUUGACAUCCUUUGCCGCUUCUAGAGAUAGAAGGUUCCCCUUCGGGGGACAAAGUGACAGGUGGUGCAUGGUUGUCGUCAGCUCGUGUCGUGAGAUGUUGGGUUAAGUCCCGCAACGAGCGCAACCCUUGAUCUUAGUUGCCAGCAUUCAGUUGGGCACUCUAAGGUGACUGCCGGUGACAAACCGGAGGAAGGUGGGGAUGACGUCAAAUCAUCAUGCCCCUUAUGACCUGGGCUACACACGUGCUACAAUGGAUGGUACAAAGGGCUGCGAGACCGCGAGGUUUAGCCAAUCCCAUAAAACCAUUCUCAGUUCGGAUUGCAGGCUG